rnacentral:rRNA from 1 species
AGUCUGGUGCCAGCAGCCGCGGAAAUUCCAGCUCUGAUAGUAUAUAUUAAAGUUGUUGCAGUUAAAAAGCUCGUAGUUGAAACUUGGGUGCGUAGGGGCGGUCUCUUUUAGAGUACUACCCUGAAACAUCUUUCUUUGGUGUAAACUUUCUAUUUAUUUAGGAAGUGUAAACCAAACAUUUACUUUGAAAAAAUUAGAGUGUUCAAAGCAGGCCUUUGCUCGAAUAUAUUAGCAUGGAAUAAUAGAAUAGGACGUAUGGUUCUAUUUUGUUGGUUUCUAGGACCGUCGUAAUGAUUAAUAGGGACGGUCGGGGGCAUCAGUAUUCAGUUGUCAGAGGUGAAAUUCUUGGAUUUACUGAAGACUAACUACUGCGAAAGCAUUUGCCAAGGACGUUUUCAUUAAUCAAGAACGAAAGUUAGGGGAUCGAAGACGAUCAGAUACCGUCGUAGUCUUAACCGUAAACUAUGCCGACUAGGGAUCGGAGGGCGUUAUAAUAACCUCUCCGGCACCUUACGAGAAAUCAAAGUUUUUGGGUUCUGGGGGGAGUAUGGUUGCAAGGCUGAAACUUAAAGGAAUUGACGGAAGGGCACCACCAGGAGUGGAGCCUGCGGCUUAAUUUGACCCAACACGGGGAAACUCACCAGGUCCAGACACAAUAAGGAUUGACAGAUUGAGAGCUCUUUCAUGAUUUUGUGGGUGGUGGUGCAUGGCCGUUCUUAGUUGGUGGAGUGAUUUGUCUGCUUAAUUGCGAUAACGAACGAGACCUUAACCUGCUAAAUAGCUGUAACAAUAGAUUAUUGUUUUGACAGCCUCUUAGAGGGACUAUCGAUUUUCAAGUCGAUGGAAGUUUGAGGCAAUAACAGGUCUGUGAUGCCCUUAGACGUUCUGGGCCGCACGCGCGCUACACUGACGGAGCCAGCGAGUCUAACCUGUGCCGAGAGGUAUGGGUAAUCUUGUGAAACUCCGCCGUGCUGGGGAUAGAGCAUUGCAAUUAUUGCUCUUCAACGAGGAAUUCCUAGUAAGCGCAAGUCAUCAGCUUGCGUUGAUUACGUCCCUGCCCUUUGUACACACCGCCCGUCGCUACUACCAAUUGAAUGGCUUAGUGAGGCUUCCGGAUUGAUUAACUGGAGAGGGCAACUUUUCUGGUUGAACGAGAAGCUAGUCAAACUUGGUCAUUUAGA